AACGAACGCUGGCGGCAGGCCUAACACAUGCAAGUCGAGCGCGCCUUCGGGUGAGCGGCGGACGGGUGAGUAACGCGUGGGAAUAUGCCCUUCUCUACGGAAUAGUCCUGGGAAACUGGGGGUAAUACCGUAUACGCCCUUUGGGGGGAAGAUUUAUCGGGGAAGGAUUAGCCCGCGUUGGAUUAGGUAGUUGGUGGGGUAAUGGCCUACCAAGCCGACGAUCCAUAGCUGGUUUGAGAGGAUGAUCAGCCACACUGGGACUGAGACACGGCCCAGACUCCUACGGGAGGCAGCAGUGGGGAAUCUUAGACAAUGGGGGCAACCCUGAUCUAGCCAUGCCGCGUGAGUGAUGAAGGCCUUAGGGUUGUAAAGCUCUUUCAGCUGGGAAGAUAAUGACGGUACCAGCAGAAGAAGCCCCGGCUAACUCCGUG
rnacentral:rRNA from 1 species